CAACCCCUCAGCUAAGCUUUGCUGCCGCGCUGGUGUUGGGCUCGGGCAACUCCCUAACCGGAACCCGGCCUUAAAGUUGCACGCUCUGCGGACCCUCCCGCCUCCAGAACAUAGUAUGACUGCUAGCUGUUUGAAAGGUGCGUUGGGCUUCCGCCUGAACAAACUCUCAACUAAG
rnacentral:misc_RNA from 1 species